CCCGCACAAGCGGUGGAGCAUGUGGUUUAAUUCGACGCAACGCGAAGAACCUUACCAGGGCUUGACAUCCCCUGACCGCGUAUGAAAGUACGUUUUCACCCUCGGGUGACAGGGAGACAGGUGGUGCAUGGUUGUCGUCAGCUCGUGUCGUGAGAUGUUGGGUUAAGUCCCGCAACGAGCGCAACCCCUACGUUUAGUUGCUAACGCGUGAAGGCGAGCACUCUAGACGAACUGCCGUCGACAAAACGGAGGAAGGUGGGAUGACGUCAAAUCAUCAUGCCCCUUAUGUUCUGGGCUACACACGUGCUACAAUGGCCGGUACAGACGGACGCAAAGCCGCGAGGCGGAGCAAAUCCGAAAAAGCCGGUCUCAGUUCGGAUUGCAGGCUGCAAUUCGCCUGCAUGAAGUCGGAAUCGCUAGUAAUCGCAGGUCAGCAUACUGCGGUGAAUACGUUCCCGGGCCUU
rnacentral:rRNA from 1 species